rnacentral:lncRNA from 1 species
GUCACAAUCAGCUAGGCUCUGAAGACAAAUCCGAGUUCAGGCUGUGGAUUGGCUGAUCCCUCAUGAAUAUGUAGAUUACUCUCACCCUUCACCUCGCUCUGGAAAAACCAGCCACCAUGUUGUAAGGAUGCUCAAGUAGCACUAUGGAGAUUCACACGUGGCAAAGAGCUGAGGCCUCCCACCAACAGCCACAUGAGGGAGCCAGAGUAGGAGUGGCUCCUCCAGCCCCAGUCGAACCUUCAGAUGUGACAGACUUGGCUGCUGACAGUUUGCAAUCUCAUGAGACCCUGAGCCAGAACCACCCAGCUAAAUCAGUCCUGGACUCCUGAUCAACAGAAAUGGUACCAAAGAGAGGCGUUUUGAACAUUAAGACGCUUUGCUGCUUCUCACCUGAAACACGUAACAGGAACACCAACCUCUUCAGCCGCGGGAAAUCUUCUUUGACACAAAACUCAAACCGAGUCAACCCAAAGUUCCAAGUUCUUUGCUUUCUCUUCUGUGUGUGUGUUGGUUUGUCCCAAAAGUCAGUUUGCAAGUUGAAACUUCAUGAAAUUACUCGUAGCAGAAAUAAAGUACAUUGUACAAAUCA